UGAGUGGUGGCCUGUGGUGAGUGGUC
rnacentral:piRNA from 1 species